rnacentral:tRNA from 1 species
UGGGGUGUAGCUCAGUGGUACAGUACUUGCUUAAUAUGAUCAAGGCCCUGGGUUUGAUUCCCAGCACCACGA